GCCUCUCUGUGUGUACCCCCCUCGGCCCCUCCGCCUGCCUCAGUCCCUGAAACUCCCCCCCGUCCUCAGGAGACACUGCAGACUCUCCCUGAACCAGCAGGCCCGGCCCGCUGUGUGCAGAACCUCAGGCAGAUCCAGCUGGAGCUGAGCUCGGCGAGGGAGACCCAGGGGCUGCAGGCUCAUCUCAGAGGCCCCAGGUUCCCAGCUCUGACCCCGGGGUCAGAGGUCACAAACACAGGUUAAGUGGUGGGUGCAGCCGGCGUGCAGUGGAUGGACCCUCUCGGCCUGAAGACCGUUUGCUGGACUCCUCGCCACUUCCCAGCUGUCCUGACUGGGAGCUGAGUGAAGAUUCCCGCGUCUCCGGGACGCCGCCUGGACAUCCCAGCUCCUGCAGAACCAGCCUCCCGGCUCUGUGCUGAAUAGGGACUCUGUACGUUUAUGAGUGUUGCUAAUGCCGUUAAUGAAGGGGAUAAUAGUGACAGAAAAAGUGUCAUUUUGCCUGUAACAGUAUUAGACAGGGUCUUGACUCCUAGUGUUAAAAGUAUACCCUGACCCUGACCCCUAACACUACACCCUGACCUCUGACCCUAAACUAUACCAUGACCCCUGAUCCCUAACCCUAAGCUAUACCCUAACCUGUAACACUAUAUUCCCACCCUGACCCCUAACACUGCACCCUGACCUCUGACCCCUAGCCCUGACACUAACUGUAUCCCGAGAGACCCUGAGCCCCUUCCCAGGACAGCAGCAGUGUGGAGCCUCCUGUUGGGCUCACUGGGGCACAGCUGAGCUUUUUAUCAUCCCUGACUAUUACACCCUUAAAAAUUCACAGCGAUUUGUUUUAAUUUGAACGUGUUAAAUUGUUU